rnacentral:rRNA from 1 species
GGUUAAGCGACUAAGCGUACACGGUGGAUGCCCUGGCAGUCAGAGGCGAUGAAGGACGUGCUAAUCUGCGAUAAGCGUCGGUAAGGUGAUAUGAACCGUUAUAACCGGCGAUUUCCGAAUGGGGAAACCCAGUGUGUUUCGACACACUAUCAUUAACUGAAUCCAUAGGUUAAUGAGGCGAACCGGGGGAACUGAAACAUCUAAGUACCCCGAGGAAAAGAAAUCAACCGAGAUUCCCCCAGUAGCGGCGAGCGAACGGGGAGCAGCCCAGAGCCUGAAUCAGUGUGUGUGUUAGUGGAAGCGUCUGGAAAGGCGCGCGAUACAGGGUGACAGCCCCGUACACAAAAAUGCACAUGCUGUGAGCUCGAUGAGUAGGGCGGGACACGUGGUAUCCUGUCUGAAUAUGGGGGGACCAUCCUCCAAGGCUAAAUACUCCUGACUGACCGAUAGUGAACCAGUACCGUGAGGGAAAGGCGAAAAGAACCCCGGCGAGGGGAGUGAAAAAGAACCUGAAACCGUGUACGUACAAGCAGUGGGAGCACGCUUAGGCGUGUGACUGCGUACCUUUUGUAUAAUGGGUCAGCGACUUAUAUUCUGUAGCAAGGUUAACCGAAUAGGGGAGCCGAAGGGAAACCGAGUCUUAACUGGGCGUUAAGUUGCAGGGUAUAGACCCGAAACCCGGUGAUCUAGCCAUGGGCAGGUUGAAGGUUGGGUAACACUAACUGGAGGACCGAACCGACUAAUGUUGAAAAAUUAGCGGAUGACUUGUGGCUGGGGGUGAAAGGCCAAUCAAACCGGGAGAUAGCUGGUUCUCCCCGAAAGCUAUUUAGGUAGCGCCUCGUGAAUUCAUCUCCGGGGGUAGAGCACUGUUUCGGCAAGGGGGUCAUCCCGACUUACCAACCCGAUGCAAACUGCGAAUACCGGAGAAUGUUAUCACGGGAG